rnacentral:rRNA from 1 species
AUGAGCCCUUAGUGGGAAGACUUGUUUCCUCUAGUUACUGUCCGCAAGCUAGUGAGAGAUGUUUCAGACCACAAUCCCUUAUUGCUCUCUUUCGGAUCCCAUGAAGAAAAACCCCCUUCACCAGUGAGAUUUUAGAUUUCAGUUGAGUUGGUUAAAAAUGAGGAGUUCUAUGCUAAGGCUAGAAUCAUCUAGGAGCAACUAGUAUAUUCUGAGGAUGCUAUUGAUAUACUUAACAUUAAAUUGAAAUGUAUCAAAAAGUAUUUUAAAGGCUGGGGGUCCCACUCAUUU